GCCCGCACCACCGCAAGGAAUCUGCCCGGUAGUGGGGGAUAACCUGGGGAAACCCAGGCUAAUACCGCAUACGUCCUACGGGAGAAAGGGGGCUUCGGCUCCCGCUAUUGGAUGAGCCUAUGUCGGAUUAGCUGGUUGGUGAGGUAAAGGCUCACCAAGGCAACGAUCCGUAGCUGGUCUGAGAGGAUGAUCAGCCACAUCGGGACUGAGACACGGCCCGAACUCCUACGGGAGGCAGCAGUGGGGAAUAUUGGACAAUGGGGGGAACCCUGAUCCAGCCAUGCCGCGUGUGUGAAGAAGGCCCUCGGGUUGUAAAGCACUUUCAGCGAGGAAGAACGCCUAGUGGUUAAUACCCAUUAUGAAAGACAUCACUCGCAGAAGAAGCACCGGCUAACUCCGUGCCAGCAGCCGCGGUAAUACGGAGGGUGCAAGCGUUAAUCGGAAUUACUGGGCUUAAAGCGCGCGUAGGUGGCUUGAUAAGCCGGUUGUGA
rnacentral:rRNA from 1 species